GGCGGUAUGGCCGAGUGGUAAGGCGGGGGACUGCAAAUCCUUUUUCCCCAGUUCAAAUCCGGGUGCCGCC
rnacentral:tRNA from 1 species